rnacentral:snoRNA from 1 species
AAGCACAUUAUAUUGUCUUUGUGUCUCUAAGAACAGGAAUAUUUGAUGUGCUAAAGAAACAGUGAAGGUAAAUUCACAAUGUGGUUAAUAUGGCCAGUGCUGUCAGUCCUUUCUACAAAA